AAAACUCAUCGGUUCUAUCAUCGAGGUAAACUCCUCUCACUCUACCCUGGCUGUCUCGCGUGUCUCUCUGCUCCGUUCUUCGUCUACUCCGUUAGCUCUCUCGCCAGUGCCGCUACUUCUCCGCCGAAUAUCCAAUCCCAGCCUAUAUUCGAAAUCAAUCCCAGCCACAAGGCUCAAGGAGGCCAGGUUGCACCCAAGGUUCCGACAGUUAAUCAUUAACAUUGCACAGGUUCGCUUUGAUUUCCUUAUCUAUUCUUCUGUUUUUCAUUGUGCUUGUUUGAUUGCACUCUAUUCGAAUGUUGCUUCUUGUUUUGUGUCAGCUUCUACGGAGUUGGGUUUUGAUUUCAUUAUCAAUUUCUUUUCGUGAGAUUGUGUAAUUUUAUAUGGAUUGAUCAAGGGUUUCUGUGAAUGCCUACAUUCUAAAGGAAUUCUCCUUGUUUUCAA